GUCUGCGGCCAUGCCACCCUGAACAAGCCUGAUCCUGUCUGAUCUCGGAAGCUAAGCAGGGUCGGACCUGGUUAGUACUUGGAUGGGAGACCACCUAGGAAGACCAGGUGCUGUAGGUG
rnacentral:rRNA from 1 species